AAAAAAUCCGUCAAUAAAUGACGAACCCCAUUAUACAGAUGAUAGGACAGGGCUAAGGCAGUAAUCUCGACGGAGAUUAGAAUAAGCUUUGAUGAAAAAAAGAAGAAUUGGUAGAAAUUCUCAUAGGUGAAGCAAAUCAAACCUAUUUUCAGACAAAGAAGAUAAAAAAACAAAACUAUAGUGGCUAGGAAAGCUCCGGAGAUUCUAUGGAAAAUUGAAAACGUCGAAGUAAGCUGUGGCUUAUAAAUAGGAAGAUGAGGAGAUAACGGGCGAAGGAUAUUCAUGAUAUUAGGUUGGAUUUAUGUUCAUUCGCUCUGCUCGCGGAGCGGCAUACCGAAAAAAAAAAGGUUUUGGAAAAAAAAAGUCAGUACUAUAGCCCCAAUCAUGGCUACUAAUAAAAUAAGACUAGAAACCAAAAACCAGACGAAAUAGUAGGUAUAAAGUAAAUUGCCCAAUGUUUCCAAAUUAGUCCAACUUCGUACCUUUCCGGCAUAAACUGUAUAUCUCAGAGAGGUCGUAUUUCUUUGGGUUGGUAGUAAUGGAAUGGUUUCAUUAUCUAAAAUGAAAAACAUUUCCCACCAAAAGAUCAGUCCAAUAAUACCACUCACUGGUAAAUAGCGCAAGACUUCUUCGUGAAUCUCCGCUAUUUGAAUAUGGAACAUCAUAACAACGAAUAGGAAUAAAACGGCUAUAGCUCCUAUAUAAACUACUAGGAAGAUCAUAGCGAAGAAGUCGAGACCUAACAAAAGAAGUAAACCUGAAGUAUCGCAAAAGACUAGGAUAAAAAACAAAACGGAAUGUACCGGAUUUUUAGCACGUACAACCAUCAAACCAGAGACCAAAGCAAGGCUCGACAAAACAGAAAGUAUCAUGGUACGUCGUCCUUCCCUGAAAUGGAACUUUCAUACUGGAGCAAGAACUAGCAUGAAAGUCGAUCUAUUACAACCAGCGCGGUUGUUCGUAUUUCAUUUUCUUUUUCCAAACCAAGCCCUUCUUAGAAAGCACUCACUGAGUUACUUACGGAAUCUCAAAUCUCUCUCGACGCCGAGAAUUUUUUAUGUGUCCAGGUCGAUUAGAGGUUCGGUUUGCUUCUCCCCUUUAGCGUUCUGGGCCCCUGAAAAAAUAAAGAAACCCGAA
rnacentral:misc_RNA from 1 species